AUCCCAGGAAGUCCUCACAGAACAUCCCCGUGGGGGAGAGAUGGACACAGCUUCAUGGUGUGAAGGGGCAGCUCAAGCCAGACCCAGAAGCUUCCAACACUAGACCUGCAUGGUCUUCCCGCUGUUCCUGUCCUGGGGAGGGGCCUGGGGACCUUCUUUCAUGCCCAGCUUGGUCACAGUUUACAGACAGACCCGAUGAGAGCCCUUUUGGUCUCAAAAGUCAGACGCAUAUCUUCCCUUUAAAGGUUGUAUUGACAACCUCAGGCUAAGGCGGUCACAGGUGCAGCAAAGAAGCAGAUAAAUGCCUGGAGGUUCCAGGUGGGAGAAAAGCCCACAGGGCCAAGGAUCUGAGCAGCAGAGUCAGGCGAGCACACCCAUUGGCUGGUCAGCAACUGAAGGGGUCCGGCUGGCCAGUGGGGUGACUCCAAAUCAGAGAAACAGUGAAAUUUCAUUUGCCAGCCUGACACCAGAUCGGCAAACAUUAAAGAGAAGGGUAUCCCCGAGGGCCAGGUGGGGUGCAGGGAAGCAGCCCCUGUGGAGACUAGACAGCAGUUUCAGAUGUUAAAUAUGGGCUGCCUGAUUAGCUUGGUUAGAGCUGGUGCUGAUAACACCAAGGUCAAAGGGUUGGAUCCUUGUACUGGACAGCCACCAAAAAAAGAAAAAAAGUUAAAUGUGAUACCCUCAGCCCAACCCUCCUAUCUUGGGAGUCUUCCAGGUAUGGGGAUCAGGAUACUAGGAUACAAGUAAGGCUUUCAGGAAUAGAAUCCCACCCAUCCAUCGCCAUGGUAACCAGUCUCACUCCUGGAAUACGAUGGAUGCGGUAGUGUCAGGAUCCAGUCUAGGUGAUGUAUUCCAUGACAUAGUAAGUCACAAAGACACAUGGAUGAGCCCCUGCCCUUUCUGUGUCCAAAACCCUGUGUGUGGUGAGAUGUGGAAAGAGUCAGGCCCACAGCUGCCAGGGUCCCCUGCAGGUGGGAGUAAGAAAAACGGUAGCAAAUGCAAGGAUGUCCAUGACCUAAUGUCAGGUGAGAGUGCAAAGACACUGAGAGUCCCACAAGUACAGGAAAAGUGGCAGUGCCCCAGCCAGGCUGGGGCUGGGUGCUGGGUGGGACGGCCUGGAUUCCUGUGGGAGUGGGAGUGCUGGACUGUCAGCAGGAAGGCCUUGGAAGGGCAGCCUCUGGCCCCUGGCUAUCUGCCAUCUCAGGGCCUGGGCUGUCACAACAUGGUGCCUGCAAUCCCCCAUCUCGCAGGCCAGAGGGAGUAUAUGUCCCCAACACCAGGUCCUUACCCAUCUCCUGCGCUGAGCUCUGUAAAGAGUGCUCAGCAGCCAGGUGGGAGGAGUCAGGACCCUGCAGGGAGACGUCCACACGUGGCCUGCUCCAUGUCAGGCAGACCACAUGUCUGCACAGCACACAGCCCAGGAGGAAACAGGUUGACACAGGGCUGGUGAGUACAAUGGGGCCAAUGGUGUAGCAGAGAACCCUGAACACUCCCAAUGCCAUCUUAGGUCUCAUUGUCAGACUACCCCCUCUGUGUGAGAAACCAUUGACCUCAUAGAAACAAAUACCAUUGCAUAGAAUCAGGAACCAUACACAGUGAACCAUUACAUAGAAACCAGAAUCAUACACAAUGAAAAUGUUUAUGCUUGAUUGCUUUAACUGCACACGUUGGCUUCUGUGACCUAGCUACCAAGCUUGCUUUGUGCAACUGGACAAACCCGUGUACCAAUGGAAUGUGGUUUUUGCCUUUAUAAACUCCACCAGACCAAGGCUAGCUGCUGCUCUCCCACCAAAAUACCUAGGGGAGGCAGUCACUAGCUGGCUAAUAAAGACUCUUAAAAUUCUUAA